rnacentral:snoRNA from 1 species
UUGGCUAAACACACCUGAUCCAGGUGAUCAGCAGCAGAUGAGGCAGGAUUUCUGAAAAACCAGCAGGAGGUCAGCCCUCCAGGCCUGGAGUUUGACACCCCUGCUCUAAAA